GUCCACGUGAAGGGGAGCAAUCCCCCGGUAGGGUGGCAAACGGGCGAUUAAUACAUGGGCGAUCUACCUUAGGGAUGGGGAUAUCCUUCCGAAAGGAGGGGCAAUACCGAAUAUUGUCCGGAGCCGUGAAGGGUUCCGGGGAAAGGGAGGCCUCUGAUACUUUCUUUCGCCUUAAGAUGAGCCCAUGGCCCAUCAGCUAGUUGGUAGGGUAAAGGCCUACCAAGGCUACGACGGGUCGCUGGUCUGAGAGGACGACCAGCCACACUGGCACUGAGAUACGGGCCAGACUCCUACGGGAGGCAGCAGUGAGGAGUAUUGCGCAAUGGGGGAAACCCUGACGCAGCAACGCCGCGUGUGGGAAGAAGGCCUUCGGGUCGUAAACCACUUUUGCACGGGACGAAAAAGGGAUAUCGAACAAAUAUCCCCGAUGACGGUACCGUGAGAAUAAGCCACGGCUAACUCUGUGCCAGCAGCCGCGGUAAAUACAGAGGUGGCAAGCGUUGUUCGGAAUUACUGGGCGUAAAGAGUCUGUAGGUGGUUUGUCAAGUCUUUGGUGAAAGGCCGUAUCUUUGACUAUGGGGAAUGCC
rnacentral:rRNA from 1 species